rnacentral:ncRNA from 1 species
UAAUAGUUAUCAGAAGAGUAAUUCUUCCUUUCUUUUUUAGAGAGCUGGUGUUAGGUGUAAACCAGAAUGAAGGUGGAAUGAAUGGGCUGAGGAAAAUUGACGAGUAACGUGAACACAUAAACGUUAGGUUUGGCACCCCUUACCGUGCAACUUCUUUGUUGAGAAGUUUUGAGAUGAUAGCUUUACAAAGAGUUAUCAACUGAGGUGGUACCGCGUAUCAAAAGUGAUUAACGCCCUCACG